UGUACAGGGGUGCUUCCUUGUCUCUAGGUUGGCAAAUGUCUCUACCCCUACUGCCCAGUGCCGAAGUGGAGAUCCAGCGCACUACCUGCCAAUGAAAAACAGUCCCUUUUUUUACAUUCCCACCCCCUGCGAUGGGUGAGGCACUGCUGCUUAAGGGCAUUUGGGAAUUGAAUCCAGCUAGCAAACUCUAGUCCCACAAAUAUAAUGUGACUAGGCCUGCACUGAGUAUGACCAGAGGUCUACUGAAAUUGUUUCAUAGUCUCCCAGAGCUUGGAAGAGUACAAAAACAAUCUUAAGUGGGGGUUUCUAUAAUGCCUGGACCUGUUCUGGCUCCUACAACAGUGAUAUAAAUGCUUGCAAUGCCUGCCCAUACUGUGAAUAUAUCUGACUUCUGGCACUGCCUUGGCACAACCAGGACUUAUUGGAUUCCCUGAUGCUAGACAGCUAAGUGCAUCCAUGAUAUGAUGAUAAAUCAGGAAGACUACAUGAUUUGAAAUUUAACAGCUACUUAUUUUUGAGACAUUGAGAUAAAGGAAAAAAUACUUUUGAUUUCUGCAAGUAACUAUUAAAUUGGGAAUCUCCUAUUCUGGUAAUCUGAUACUCUGUUACUGUGUCAUAUCAUCAAACAAUGCCAACAACCAGCGGUGGGCAAAAUAGAUUUUGGACUAAGAUGAAUAAGGGAGCCACUUAUCUGUCUUUUUUUCUUUUCCAAUAUUCACAGUUUUAUCUGAAGAGCACCAUAUAAAGGUUACUGUUGUCAUAAAAAUGUACUGUUCUUAUUACAUUUUCCUUUUUACAUGAAUAUAUUUUUAAAUGGAGAUAAAAAUAUGUUUUUGUUGCUAC